rnacentral:rRNA from 1 species
CCUACGGGCGGCUGCAGUCGAGAAUCAUUCACAAUGGGGGAAACCCUGAUGGUGCGACGCCGCGUGGGGGAAUGAAGGUCUUCGGAUUGUAAACCCCUGUCAUGUGGGAGCAAAUUAAAAAGAUAGUACCCCAAGAGGAAGAGACGGCUAACUCUGUGCCAGCAGCCGCGGUAAUACAGAGGUCUCAAGCGUUGUUCGGAAUCACUGGGCGUAAAGCGUGCGUAGGCUGUUUCGUAAGUCGUGUGUGAAAGGCGCGGGCUCAACCCGCGGACGGCACAUGAUACUGCGAGACUAGAGUAAUGGAGGGGGAACCGGAAUUCUCGGUGUAGCAGUGAAAUGCGUAGAUAUCGAGAGGAACACUCGUGGCGAAGGCGGGUUCCUGGACAUUAACUGACGCUGAGGCACGAAGGCCAGGGGAGCGAAAGGGAUUAGAUACCCGAGUAGUC